UAUUAAGUAUUUUAUUCUAUAUAUAGAUAGAAUAAUAAAUUUGUUCACAUUAUAUUACUUUAAAAAUUUCACCUGCUCGUACUGAUUAAAUAUGUAAAUGAAUUAGGCUUAUAACGUUUAACGACAAGUUCUAAAUUGUGAUACGGAUUUUCGUUAUCAAUUCCGAUCUAUUUUUGAAGCCGUACUUAACAUAUAUCAAAGGUUAAUCUUUCUGGUUUUUUCAUACAUAGAAUAUCCUUUAAUAUCAUUACAGUUUUGUCCGAUCGUGUGAUAUUUUUAAAGUAAUAUUACAAGCUGAUGUCAAUUGUAUGAAGAAAAAUGUCAAAAAUAUAACAACAAAAACACAACAGAUCAUAACAAGCAAGGAAUGAUAAACACGGUAUAUAAAUAAUAAAAGAAUGACAUUAGUAUUUUCAAGUGGUUCCUUCAUGCCAUUUUAGACUAGCCCUUACAUUAAACUAGGACUAUGGUAUCAAGUGUCUAUUUUAGAUAUAUAUGUAUUGUUAAGAACACGGAAAUGUUAAAUAUUGCUUUUUUCAGUUGUUUGUGAAAAAAUGUUUACCAUUACUAUUUUUGGAUGGUUAUUAUUUAAAUGGGCUAUAUUCUAUGACAUGUAAGAUUAUCAUUUUUACUUAAUAAAUCAAUUUCAAAUUUCCGUUUUAAAACUGUACUACUAUAGUUCUCUUGAAUGGAUUAGCAGAUAAAUGUAUGUUAUUGUAUUCUACUGAUCAAAUUCCAGAAGUACCAAUACAACCAAUAUCCUAUUUAACGUGUAAAACAUGCCAUGUGUUAUUGAACAGACACUCUUUUAGUAUGAGGAGUCUGGACAUGAUGCAAUACGAAUAAAACAGAAUGAAAUACAUAAAAAGAUACAUCUUUAACUAAACAAAUUACCCUAUGAAAUGAAAAUAUUCUUUUUUCUUUUACAAAACGUAAACAUGUUUAUACAAAAAU
rnacentral:lncRNA from 1 species